CAACAGGGAUUGCCUCAGUAACGGCGAGUGAAGCGGCAAAAGCUCAAAUUUGAAAUCUGGCACCUUCGGUGUCCGAGUUGUAAUUUGAAGAAGGUAACUUUGGAGUUGGCUCUUGUCUAUGUUCCUUGGAACAGGACGUCACAGAGGGUGAGAAUCCCGUGCGAUGAGAUGCCCAAUUCUAUGUAAAGUGCUUUCGAAGAGUCGAGUUGUUUGGGAAUGCAGCUCUAAGUGGGUGGUAAAUUCCAUCUAAAGCUAAAUAUUGGCGAGAGACCGAUAGCGAACAAGUACAGUGAUGGAAAGAUGAAAAGAACUUUGAAAAGAGAGUGAAAAAGUACGUGAAAUUGUUGAAAGGGAAGGGCUUGAGAUCAGACUUGGUAUUUUGCAAGCCUUACCUUCGUGGUGGGGUCCCCUGCAGUUUACUGGGCCAGCAU
rnacentral:rRNA from 1 species